GUGCAGUGGGAAUAGCUUGACAGUGAAAAAUGUUUGCUUAGCAUUGUUUAAGCAACAAUAAGUAUUUGAAUUACAUGUGGACUGUUGUAUGUCACUGUGAUGGCUACUUUGACUACUGGGGAAAAGGGACCCAAGUCACAGUGACUUCUGCCGCCUCAGUGAAACCAACUGUGUAUCCUCUGAUGCAAUGCGGCUCCGAUUCUGGAGACACCGUCACUCUUGGCUGCCUCGCCACUGGCUUCUCACCCUCUUCAGUGACCUACACAUGGGAAAAAAAUGGAUCCACCAUGACCGACUCCAUUCAGUAUCCUCCAACAAUGAAAGGCAAUGUUUACACCGGAAUCAGUCAAAUCCGAGUGAGCAAACAGGACUGGGAGGCAAGGAAUACCUUCCGAUGUGUCGCAACAAAUGCAGCAGGAACUGGACAGGGAGAAUUCAUCAUGCCACAGGUGCAUUAUCAGUGGCCAAAACCUCAAGUCUUUGCCUCACAAGGUGAUGAAGAGGAGGUUACCUUUUCAUGCCUUGCCAAAGAUUUUUCACCCAACAAGUUUGCCUUCAGAUGGCAGAAGAACCAAGGGCAACCCCUCCAUGAAUCACAGAUUGUCACAACUCCUUCUGUGGAAAAACAGACAGAGAAUGGAACUCUGUACAGUGCAGCCAGUUUCCUCACAGUACCAUCCUCAGAGUGGGUUGAAGAAACCAAAUACACCUGCACGUUUGAGGGGAAAGGAAAAAAUGGUACCGUUUCCAAGCAAGGCGCUGUGGAAUACAAACCGACAACUUCUACUGGUAACGAAUGUAUGGAAGCCGAUGUGGAAAUAACAUUCACUGAUCCAAAGAUGGAGGACCUGUUUUUAACAGGAAAAGGAACAAUUGUAUGUCGUGUCACAGCAAAUAAGAAAGGAUUAAGUAGGAUUUACUGGAUAAAUGAGAAUGGAGAUGAUAUUGCUGGUGCCUCUAAAGACACCGUCCAGACACGCACAGGCAUAUUCACCCUUCCACUGGAAAUCACCUUUGAUGAAUGGAAACAGGGGAUGCAGCCUACCUGUGCUGUUACACAUGAAUCGUUCCCUGACGGCACAAAGGAAACAUACAAAAGGGAUAUUGGAGGACCAACUCAGCGUCCUUCAGUUUUUAUGAUGCCUCCACUAGAACAUACUAGAAAAGACACAGUGACCUUGACUUGCUAUGUGAAAGACUUCAGCCCCAAGGAUGUUUUUGUGUCUUGGCUUGUUGAUGACGAAGAAGCAGACUCAGAUUUCGAGUACCAUACCACAGAACCUGUAGAACACCAAGGAACCUAUUCGGCCUAUGGCCAGUUAACACUCAGCCUCGAGCAAUGGAAAAAGAGCGACGUAGUGUAUAGUUGUGCGGUACACCACCAGUCUCUGACCAACACAACAAAAGCUAUUGUCAGGUCCAUUGGGUACAAAACCUUUGAAAACAUCAACCUGGUCAACCUCAACAUGAACAUUCCUGAGAAGUGCAAGGCCCUGUAGAUGUUAUUUUGUCUCUGUGUCUUCUGCAGUCUGUUGUUUAAUGUUUGUUGCUUGUGAUUUGACAUUGUUUGUCUUUAAAUGCAAAAUCAAAAUAAAAAAAAUUUGAACUCCGUUGA